GCCGAGGUAGCUCAGGGGUAGAGCAGCUGAUUCGUAAUCAGCAGGUCGUGAGUUCUGCCAAAGGCAUCCCUUUGGGAAAAUCUCAUUCUCGGCU
rnacentral:tRNA from 1 species